rnacentral:lncRNA from 1 species
CAGGCUGUACAGGAAAUGUGGUGCCGGCAUCUGCUUCUGGAGACCGAUGAUUAACAGCAAAAACAAUAGCCAACGCCAUAGACAUUUCAGCUGGUUCAUUUUACACAAUUCUGACUCUGCUCAGUGGGUGCCAAAACUGUUGCUCCCAGAUCAAUUGCAGACAAGAGCAGAGCUUUCACUGGAAAUUUCAAACAGGUGGGAUCAACAUUCUGAAGGAUUUCUUUGAAGAAUUUUAACAAUAAAUGAACAUGGUUUUACCAGUACAUCCUGAAGACAAAGUACAAUCAAAUCACUGGCUACCAAGAGUUGGAAGUGAGAGCAGAAGCAGACUGAUCAAGAACAAAGGUCAUGGCAACACUUUUUUUGGGAUACGCAAGGCAUUUUGCUCGUUGACUUUUGGGAGGGCCAAUGAAUGCCAACAUCUGCUUAUUGUAAGAGUAUUUUAAGAAAGUUAGCUAAAGCUUGAGCAGAAAAAUGCCUAGGAAAGCUUCACCAGAGAGUCCUUCUCCACCAUGAUAGUGCUCUUGCUCAUUCUUCUCAUCAAACAAGGUCAAUUUUGGGAUAGUUUUGAUGCACAUUUAUUAGGCAUCCACCCUACAGUCCUGAUUUGGCUCCUUCUGACUUUUUUAUUUCUUAAUCUUAAAACGUCUAUAAAGCGUAUCCAUUUUUCUUCAGUUAAAAAUGUAAAAAAGACUGCAUUGACAUGGUUAAUGCAGGACCCUCAGUUCUUUAAGGAUGGACUAAAUAUGUGUUAUUAUUGCCUACAGGUGUCUUGACCUUGAUGGAGCUUAUGUUGAGAAAUAAAGUUUAUACUUUCUAUUUUCAUCUAAUUCCAUUUUUUCCACAAACUUUUUGGAGUCCCCUUGUAUUUCCAGAAUACUUGUGAAUGGCUUUUUCAAAUUAAUUUGGCCUAAAUAUUAUCCCAAUUUAUUAACCUUAAUUGGAGAAUGUUGAAAAUCUUGUCUCUUCAUAAAAAAAAAAAAAAAAAAAAGCCAUUUCC